ensembl:miRNA MIR509-1 microRNA 509-1
CAUGCUGUGUGUGGUACCCUACUGCAGACAGUGGGAAUCAUGUAUAAUUAAAAACGAUUGGUACGUCUGUGGGUAGAGUACUGCAUGACACAUG